rnacentral:rRNA from 1 species
GGGCGAUUGGGCCCGAGUUUGAUCCUGGCUCAGAACGAACGCUGGCGGCAUGCCUAACACAUGCAAGUCGAACGCCCCGCAAGGGGAGUGGCGAACGGGUGAGUAACGCGUGGGAACCUACCCAGCAGUUGGGGAUAACCGCGGGAAACUGCGGCUAAUACCGAAUACGUCCUGAGGGAGAAAGAUUUAUCGCUGUUGGAGGGGCCCGCGUCGGAUUAGCUAGUUGGUGAGGUAAUGGCUCACCAAGGCAUCGAUCCGUAGCUGGUCUGAGAGGAUGAUCAGCCACACUGGGACUUAGACACGGCCCAGACUCCUACGGGAGGCAGCAGUGGGGAAUAUUGGACAAUGGGGGCAACCCUGAUCCAGCAAUGCCGCGUGAGUGAUGAAGGCCUUAGGGUUGUAAAGCUCUUUUACCGGGGACGAUGAUGACGGUACCCGGAGAAUAAGCCCCGGCUAACUUCGUGCCAGCAGCCGCGGUAA